GGUUGAUCCUGCCGGACCCUACCGCUAUCGGGAUGGGAUUAAGGCAUGUUAGUCGUGCGCUUCCUAGCCAUGAUGGAGGCGCGGCGCACAGCUCAGUAUCACGUGGCUAACCUAACCUUAGGACGGGGGCACCCCCGGGAAACUGGGGCUAAUUUCCGAUAGGUGAAGAUUCCUGGAAUGGAUUUUUGCCUAAAGGGCACUUGGGUCAUGCUUCCAGGUGUUGCCUAAGGAUGGGGCCGCGGCCGAUCAGGUUGUUGGUGAGGUAAUGGCCCACCAAGCCUUUUACCGGUGCGGGCCGUGGGAGCGGGAGCCCGGAGAUGGGCACUGAGACAAGGGCCCAGGCCCUACGGGGCGCAGCAGUCGCGAAAAUUUCGCAAUAAGCGAAAGCUUGACGGAGCUAUCCCGAGUGCCAUCCGCUGAGGAUGGCUUUUCUCUAGUAUAGAUAGCUGGGGGAAUAAGGAGAGGGCAAGUCUGGUGUCAGCCGCCGCGGUAAUACCAGCUCUCCGAGUGGUGGGGAUGAUUAUUGGGCCUAAAGCAUCCGUAGCCGGCUGAGCGAGUCCCCUGUUAAAUCCAGCGAUUCAAUCGCUGGUCUGCGGGGGAUACUGCUUGGCUUGGGGGCGGGAGAAGCCGUCGGUAUUCCCGGGGUAGGGGUGAAAUCCUAUAAUCCCGGGAGGACCACCAGUGGCGAAGGCUGUCGGCUAGAACGCGCUCGACGGUGAGGGAUGAAAGCUGGGGGAGCGAACCGGAUUAGAUACCCGGGUAGUCCCAGCUGUAAACGAUGCAGGCUAGGUGUUAGGUCGGCCACGUGCCGCUCUAGUGCCGCAGGGA
rnacentral:rRNA from 1 species